AACGCUGGCGGCGUGGUUAAGACAUGCAAGUCGAACGAGAAGCUCCCUUCGGGGAGUGGAGAGUGGCGCACGGGUGAGUAACACGUGAGCAACCUGCCGGGAAGCCCGGGAUAGCCCUCCGAAAGGAGGAUUAAUNACCGGAUGUGGCCACCCUGCGAUUGCGGGGGAAGCUAAAGGAUUUAUUCACUUCCCGAGGGGCUCGCGGCCCAUCAGCUUGUUGGUGAGGGUAACGGCCCACCAAGGCGACAACGGGUAGCUGGUCUGAGAGGAUGGUCAGCCACACUGGAACUGAGACACGGUCCAGACACCUACGGGUGGCAGCAGUCGAGAAUCAUUCGCAAUGGGGGAAACCCUGACGAUGCGACGCCGCGUGGAGGAUGAAGGCCUUAGGGUUGUAAACUCCUGUCAAGAGGGAAUAAGCAAGUGAAGGUACCUCUAGAGGAAGGGGCGGCUAAUUCCGUGCCAGCAGCCGCGGUAACACGGAAGCCCCGAGCGUUGUUCGGAUUCAUUGGGCGUAAAGGGUGCGUAGGCGGCGCGGAAAGUCCGGCGUGAAAGGCAGGGGCUCAACCUCUGGACUGCGUUGGAUACUUCCGUGCUUGAGGACUGGAGGGGAGACUGGAAUUCACGGUGUAGCAGUGAAAUGCGUAGAUAUCGUGAGGAAGACCGGUGGCGAAGGCGAGUCUCUGGACAGAUCCUGACGCUGAGGCACGAAGGCUGGGGGAGCGAACAGGAUUAGAUACCCUGGUAGUCCCAGCAGUAAACGAUGUGAGCUUGAUGUGGGGGGAUUCGAACCCUUCCGUGUCGAAGCUAACGCG
rnacentral:rRNA from 1 species